rnacentral:lncRNA from 1 species
AUGCCUUCUUCUAAGGGUCUAUUGACUUUCAUGGAUGUGGCUAUAGAGUUCUCUAAGGAGGAGUGGGAAUGUCUGGAUUCUGCUCAGAGAGCUUUGUACAGAGAUGUCAUGUUGGAGAAUUACAAUAACCUGGUUUCUGUGGGUGUUGCAGUUUCAAAGUCAGAGGUAAUCAUCUGUCUUGAACAAAACAAAGAAACAUGGAUUGCUGAUAGAGAAGAUAUGGAAGGGAAAAAACAGUCCUGUCUUGUGAUUAUACUAAGAAGCUACUCCCCAAACGACGUACACAGGAUUACUUCCAGAAUAAAAUAACACGAAGAUUUGGAUGUAGUAGCCUUUCAGAUCUAUAUCGAAACAAAUUCUGGGAAUAUAUUUGUGAUAGUACAGAGUAUGAACUAUAUAACUAUGUAAAUGAUCAAUUGGAAAAUCACGUCUUUUUCUUUUCUAAAACUUAUGAAGGAGCCCUAACUUCCCUUGAAAGAAGUCAGACUGGGUCACUUUCAUUUUCACAAUUGGAGGAUUCUCUAGGAAAAAAAUCACAGUAUUUGAAACACAACUCUAUUUUACAUGGAAAUACACAAACAUUACAAAGUGACAUUUGGGAGAAUAAAUUGUGUUUCCUGAAGUAUCUAUUACAGAAUAUGAGAUUAAACAGUGCAUCAGUGCUUUAUGAACAAAUGAGACUGUGGAGCAGAGAAAAACGUACCGAAUGUUAUGAAGGUGAAAAAAACUUCUCUCAAAAUUUAUGGCAUUUUCCGCAACAAAACCUACUCAGUGACAAGUUAUAUGAUAUAGAACAACUUAAAAAAGAAUAUAUGAAUGCAAUGAAUCAUGGAAGAUAUAAUGUGAGAGGUAAUUUUAAAAGCUUUAACACAGUAAUUGAUAUUAAUAUAGGCUUUGUUAAGAAUCCUUUACUAUUGUAUUACCAAAGCAAUCAAUAUAGAGAGAUAUUAUAUCAAGGUAAUGACCUAUUAGAAGAUUCUAUUUGUAAAACUCAUCCAAGUGAAAAUCAGAUAAGCAGCUUUAUUCCAGAAUAUCAUUAUAACAAGAAUAGAAAAACGGCUAUCUAUAGUCACUGCUCCCAGUCUUCGCAACAGCAUACCACAGAGAAACUUUGUAUAAAUGAAAAUAAGAAUGCCAUUUUAAGUGAAUCUUCAAUUCAUAUUUGGUACACUGGACCAUGGAUUAAUGGAGAGUCCAAGAGUUACCUGUAUGAAAAAAACAGGGAUGCCUCAAAUGAAUCAUUAAACUUGGAGAGAGCUCAGAAAUCAAAUAAAUGUAAUAAGUAUGGGAAAUCAUUUAUCCAGUCCUCAAGUCUUCAAGCUCAUUAUAGAACUUCUACACAAGAGACACCUUACAAACGUAAUGAAUGUGGAAAAUUCUUUACCUGUUCCUCAAGUCUUAAAGUUUGCCAAGAAAACUGUACAGGAGAAAGACUUCAUGAAUCUAAUAACUGUGGAAAAUCAUUUUCACAGUCCUCAAAACUUCAAGUUCACUACAGAAUCCACACAGGAGAGAAACUUUACAAAAGUAACAAAUGUGGGAAAUAUUUUACAAAGAACUCAGAGCUUAAAGUUCACUACAGAAACCAUACAGGAGAAAAGCUUUACAAAUGCAAUGAAUGUGGGAAAUCUUUUACACAAAACAAAGUGCUUAAAAAUCACUACAGAAUUCAUACAGGAGAGAAACCUUACAAAUGUAAUGAAUGUGGGAAAUCUUUUACACACUCCUCAAAACUUCAAGUUCAUUACAGAAUCCACACAGGAGAGAAACCUUACAAAUGUAAUGAAUGUGGAAAAUCUUUCAUACAGAACUCAGAUCUUAAAGUUCACCACAGAAUCCACACAGGAGAGAAACCUUACAAAUGUAAUGAAUGUGGGAAAUCUUUUACACAGAAUUCAGUGCUUAAAGUUCACUACAGUGUCCAUACUGGAGAAAAGCCUUACAAAUGUAAUGAAUGUGGCAAAUGUUUUACACAGAACAAAGUACUUAAAAAUCACUACAAAAUUCAUACAGGAGAGAAACCUCACAAAUGUAAUGAAUGUGGAAAAUUUUUUACACACUCCUCAAAACUUCAAGUUCACUACAGAAUCCACACAGGAGAGAAACCUUACAAAUGUAAUGAAUGUGGAAAAUCUUUCACACAGAACUCAUAUCUUAAAGUUCACCACAGAAUCCACACAGGAGAGAAACCUUACAAAUGUAAUGAAUGUGGUAAAUCUUUUACAAAGAACGCAGAGCUUACUGUUCACUACAGAAUCCAUACAGGAGAGAAACCUUACAAAUGCAAUGAAUGUGAGAAAUCUUUUACACAAUCCUCAACACUUCAAGUUCACUACAGAAUCCACACAGGAGAGAAACCUUACAAAUGUAAUGAAUGUGGAAAAUCUUUCACACAGAACUCUGAUCUUAAAGUUCACCACAGAAUCCAUACAGGAGAGAAACCUUACAAAUGUAUUAAAUGUGGAAAAUCUUUCACACAGAACUGUGAUCUUAAAGUUCACUACAGAAUCCAUUCAGGAGAGAAACCUUACAAAUGUAAUGAAUGUGGAAAAUCUUUUACAAAGAACUCAAAACUUCAAGCACACUACAGAAUCCACACAGGAUAGAAACCUUUCACAUGUAAUGAAUGUGGAAAAUCUUUCACACAGAACUGUGAUCUUAAAGUUCACUAUAGAAUCCAUACAGGAGAGAAACCUUAAAAUGUAAUGAAUGUGGCAAAUCUUCUGCACAGUAAAAAGUGCUUAAAGUUCACUACAGAAUUCAUACAGGAGAGAAACAUUACAAAUAUAAUGAAUGUGGAAAAUCUUUUGCACAUAACUCAGAGCUUAAAUUUCACUACAGAAUCCAUACAGGAGAGAAGCCUUACAAAUGUACUGAAUGUGGCAAAUCUUUUACAAGGAACACAGCCUUUAAAGUUCACUACAGAAUCCAUAUAGGAGAGACAGCUUACAAAUAUAAUAAGUGUGACAAAUCUUUUACACAAGCCUCCAAACUUCAAGUUCACUACAGAACCCAUACAGGAAAGAAGCCUUACAAAGAUAAUGAACGUGGCAAAUCUUGUAUAUGGAACAUAGAGCAUUAAGUUCCUUACAGUAUCCAUACAGGAGAGAAACCUUACAAAUUUUUUGAUUGUGGCAAAUCAUUUACAUAGAACUCAGAGCUUAAAAUUCAGCCAAGAGUCUGUACAGGGGACAAACUUUAUGAAUAUAAUGAAUGCUGCAAAUCUUUUACACAACACUCAGAUCAUGAAGCACACCACAGAAUCCAUACUGGAGAGAAACCUUACAAAUGAAAUGAAGGUGGCAUAUCAUUCACUAACUCUCCAAGUCUUUAUUUCAGUACAGAAUCCACAUAAGAGAUAAACCUUACAAAUGUGGUCUAUGUCUUAUCUUUCACCUGGUUCUCCCUUUUCCAUGUUCAACAAAGAACCCAUACUGGAAAACAGCCUUGUAAGUGUAGUGACUUUGGGAAAUACUUUUCCCUGUCCUCAAAUCUUCAAUAUCACCUAAGAAUACAAACUAGAGACAACCUUAUUAAUGUAAAGAAUGUGAAAAAUCCUUGACAUGGAAAUAAUGCCUUCAAACACAACCCAGCAUGCAUCCUGGAGAGAAACAUUACAAAUAUAAAGGACAUGACAAAUAUUUUCACACAACCUCAAAGCUUGGAGCACAUAGAAUUAUGCAU